GGCGGCGUGCUUAACACAUGCAAGUCGAGCGGAAAGGCCCUUCGGGGGUACUCGAGCGGCGAACGGGUGAGUAACACGUGAGUAACCUGCCCCUGACUCUGGGAUAAGCCUGGGAAACUGGGUCUAAUACCGGAUAUGACCAUUUCGGGCAUCCGAUGGUGGUGGAAAGUUUUUUCGGUUGGGGAUGGACUCGCGGCCUAUCAGCUUGUUGGUGGGGUAGUGGCCUACCAAGGCGACGACGGGUAGCCGGCCUGAGAGGGCGACCGGCCACACUGGGACUGAGACACGGCCCAGACUCCUACGGGAGGCAGCAGUGGGGAAUAUUGCGCAAUGGGCGGAAGCCUGAGCCAGCGACGCCGCGUGGGGGAUGACGGCCUUCGGGUUGUAAACCUCUUUCAGCAGGGACGAAGUUGACGUGUACCUGCAGAAGAAGCGCCGGCUAACUACGUGCCAGCAGCCGCGGUAAUACGUAGGGCGCAAGCGUUGUCCGGAAUUAUUGGGCGUAAAGAGCUCGUAGGUGGCUGGUCGCGUCUGCCGUGAAAGCGCAGCUUAACUGCGGGUCUGCGGUGGAUACGGGCCGGCUAGAGGUAGGUAGGGGCAAGUGGAAUUCCUGGUGUAGCGGUGAAAUGCGCAGAUAUCAGGAGGAACACCGGUGGCGAAGGCGGCUUGCUGGGCCUUACCUGACGCUGAGGAGCGAAAGCGUGGGGAGCGAACAGGAUUAGAUACCCUGGUAGUCCACGCUGUAAACGUUGGGCGCUAGGUGUGGGGGUCUUCCACGAUCUCGUGCCGGAGCUAACGCAUUAAGCGCCCCGCCUGGGGAGUACGGCCGC
rnacentral:rRNA from 1 species